GGGAUUUAUUUUGAUUGUUCUAACUUUUUGAGAUGGUGCCUAGGUGAUUAAUUACCAGGUUUUCUGGUUUUCUAAAAUAUCUUUUUAGGCUAUAAAUUUCUCUCUAAGCA